rnacentral:rRNA from 1 species
AAUGAACGUUGGCGGCGUGGAUUAGGCAUGCAAGUCGAGCGAUCGUAGCAAUACGGGAGCGGCAAACGGGGUAGUAAUGCAUCGGAACGUGCCCUUUGGUCGGGGAUAGCGGCGGGAAACUGCCGGUAAUACCCGAUAAAGUCGAGAGACCAAAGGUUUACUGCCGGAGGAGCGGCCGAUGUGAUAUCAGCUAGUUGGUGGGGUAAUGGCCCACCAAGGCAUAGACGUCUAGGGGGCGUGAGAGCGCGAUCCCCACCACUGGAACUGGGAACUGUCCAGACACCUACGGGUGGCUGCAGUCGAGAAUCUUCGUCAAUGGGGGAAACCCUGAACGAGCGACGCCGCGUGCGGGAUGAAGGCCCUUGGGUUGUAAACCGCUGUCAGGGGGGAGCAAGGGAAACUUGAGCGAGCCCCGGAGGAAGCACGGGCUAAGUUCGUG